UGCCCAGGACGGGACAACUGGAACAUGAACUAACACAGAGGUCAGGUUUUAUGGAUGAAACUACUCUGUGAAGAUGAGGAGCUAAACCCUGAGCUCUCCUCAGCCCUGCUUCAUGUAGAGUUUAGAGAAAGACUUUCUUUAAUGGGCCCAAGAAGCUUUUUCAAUUAAGAGGACAUUUAUGUUGUUUGUGUUUGAACUUAUUGUUUUGUUAUAUUGAAAGUAUUUUUGAAAUACAGUAAUUAUUAUUUAAA